rnacentral:rRNA from 1 species
UUUUUGAAGAGUUUGAUUCUGGCUCAGGACGAACGUUGGCGGUGUGUCUAAGGCAUGCAAGUCGAACGAGAUCGCUUUCUUCGGAAAGCAUUAUAUCUAGUGGCAGACGGCUGAGUAACGCGUAAGUAACUUACCCUAGAGUGGGGAAUAACACAGAGAAAUCUGUGCUAAUACCGCAUACGAUUUAUUGAUAAUUUCUAUAAAUGAAAGAUUUAUCGCUCUUGGAUGGGCUUGCGUCCUAUCAGGUAGUUGGCGGGGUAAUGGCCCACCAAGCCUAAGACGGGUAGCUGGUGUGAGAGCACGACCAGCCAGAGGGGGACUGAGACACGGCCCCCACUCCUACGGGAGGCAGCAGCUAAGAAUAUUGCACAAUGGACGAAAGUCUGAUGCAGCGACACCGCGUGAGGGAUGAAGGUUUUAGGAUUGUAAACCUCUUUUAUUAGGGAAUAGCAAGGAAGGUACCUAAUGAAUAAGCUACGGCUAACUACGUGCCAGCAGCCGCGGUAAUACGUAGGUAGCGAACGUUGUCCGGAAUCACUGGGCGUAAAGGGUCCGUAGGCGGUUUGAUAAGUCUCAUAUGAAAACUUCAAGCUCAACUUGGAGAGGUUGUGAGAUACUGUCAAACUAGAGACUGUUAGAGGUAAGUGGAAUUCCAGGUGUAGUGGUGAAAUGCGUAGAUAUCUGGAGGAACACCAGUGGCGAAAGCGACUUACUGGGACAGUUCUGACGCUAAGGGACGAAAGCGUGGGGAGCGAACCGGAUUAGAUACCCGGGUAGUCCACGCCGUAAACGAUGAUUGCUAGGUUUUCGGGGCAUCGACCCCUCGUGAGCCGAAGUUAACGCGUUAAGCAAUCCGCCUGAGUAGUACGGCCGCAAGGCUAAAACUCAAAGAAAUUGACGGGGGACCGCACAAGCAGCGGAGCGUGUGGUUUAAUUCGAUGGUAAGCGAAGAACCUUACCAGGGUUUGACAUGUAAGUAGUACUGAACCGAAAGGGGAUGGACCCGCAAGGGAGCUUACACAGGUGUUGCAUGGUUGUCGUCAGCUCGUGCCGUGAGGUGUUGGGUUAAGUCCCGCAACGAGCGCAACCCUCUUUGUUAGUUGCACUCUCUAACGAUACUGCCCUUAAAAGGGAGGAAGGUGGGGAUGACGUCAAAUCAUCAUGGCUCUUACACCCUGGGCUACACACACGCUACAAUGGCAAGUACAGACGGUUGCCAACCCGCGAGGGGGAGCUAAUCCGAUAAAACUUGUCUCAGUUGGGAUUAUAGGCUGAAAUUCGCCUAUAUGAACGUGGAGUUGCUAGUAAACGCAGGUCAGCACACUGCGUUGAAUACGUUCCCGGUCCUUGUACACACCGCCCGUCACGUCAUGGAAGUUUGUAACACUUGAAGUCGUUGCGCUAACCCUUUGGGAGGCAGACGCCGAGAGUGGGACGGAUGACUGGGACGAAGUCGUAACAAGGUAGCUGUACCGGAAGGUGCGGCUGGAUCACCUCCUUUCUAAGGA